rnacentral:rRNA from 1 species
UACGUAGGGUGCAAGCGUUGUCCGGAAUUAUUGGGCGUAAAGAGCUCGUAGGCGGUGUGUCGCGUCGGCCGUGAAAACCUGCAGUUUAACUGUGGGCUUGCGGUCGAUACGGGCAUCACUGGAGUUCGGCAGGGGAGACUGGAAUUCCUGGUGUAGCGGUGAAAUGCGCAGAUAUCAGGAGGAACACCGGUGGCGAAGGCGGGUCUCUGGGCCGAUACUGACGCUGAGGAGCGAAAGCGUGGGGAGCGAACAGG